GGGCAGUUAGCUCAGUGGUUUGAGUGUGGUGCUGACAACAAUGACAACACCAAGGUCGCGGGUUCGAUUCCCGCUCGGUCCC
rfam:Apaloderma vittatum contig74583, whole genome shotgun sequence.